UGCUUACUGUGUGCCAGGUACUAUUUCAGGUGCUCUGCAUGGAUUAUCUCAGGUGAUGCUCUCAAUAAAUCUCGGAUGAGGUAUUUUCCCCUUACUUUCUAGACAGAGAAACGGAGGCACAGAGAAGGAAGCGGCAGGUAAAGCUGUGAAGAACCUAACAAAUUUCAAGAUUGUAAGUGCCUUUUCCCAGGAUGCCAGCAAGUACUGAGGCAAGCCUGUAUUUUGAGCUGCGUCAAACCCUGUUGGAAUAAAAAAGGACAUUUCUAGGAGAUCAGUCUUCAAGAUUGGCCCCAGUUUCCCCAGAGUAG
rnacentral:lncRNA from 1 species